rnacentral:snRNA from 1 species
GGACGAUCUGGCUGUGACAUCCGUCACCCCACUGAUCUUCAGAGUUGAUUCAGCUGAUCAGGUGAGCUGAGCAGGUGUCCUCUUCAUUCCAUGUGCGUUCCUCCCGGAACUGCACACCUGGUCAGAGGAAGACCUUUCCUGAUAAAGGAGGACCAUUCUUCAGUCAACGGUAUGUGAGUACCUGUUCUCCCCAGCCAGACUCUCAAACGAGCUCUCCGUAAAAUCACAAGAUUUUAUUGUGCAUGGUAGCAUAAGUCUGUAAUCCCAGCUACUCAGGAGGCUGAGGUAGUGGGAU